UGAAAUGCAGCAUUAGAGUGCGAUAAAAUUUGAAUUUAUUCAUAGUAAUUUAUUUUUACUCAUUUCAA
rnacentral:tRNA from 1 species